rnacentral:rRNA from 1 species
UACAGAGGUCCCAAGCGUUGUUCGGAUUCACUGGGCGUAAAGGGUGCGUAGGUGGUGAGGUAAGUCGGAUGUGAAAUCUCCGGGCUCAACCCGGAAAUGGCAUUGGAAACUACCUUGCUUGAGGAUUUGAGGGGGGAUUGGAAUACUUGGUGUAGCAGUGAAAUGCGUAGAUAUCAAGUGGAACACCAGUGGCGAAGGCGAAUCCCUGGAAAAUACCUGACGCUGAGGCACGAAAGCCAGGGGAGCAAACGGG